rnacentral:rRNA from 1 species
GAUGAACGCUGGCGGCGUGCCUAAUACAUGCAAGUCGAGCGAACAGAUGAGGAGCUUGCUCCUCUGACGUUAGCGGCGGACGGGUGAGUAACACGUGGAUAACCUACCUAUAAGACUGGGAUAACUUCGGGAAACCGGAGCUAAUACCGGAUAAUAUAUUGAACCGCAUGGUUCAAUAGUGAAAGACGGUUUUGCUGUCACUUAUAGAUGGAUCCGCGCCGCAUUAGCUAGUUGGUAAGGUAACGGCUUACCAAGGCAACGAUGCGUAGCCGACCUGAGAGGGUGAUCGGCCACACUGGAACUGAGACACGGUCCAGACUCCUACGGGAGGCAGCAGUAGGGAAUCUUCCGCAAUGGGCGAAAGCCUGACGGAGCAACGCCGCGUGAGUGAUGAAGGUCUUCGGAUCGUAAAACUCUGUUAUUAGGGAAGAACAAAUGUGUAAGUAACUAUGCACGCCUUGACGGUACCUAAUCAGAAAGCCACGGCUAACUACGU